CACGCAGCCACCACAGUAUGACAACCAACAGACAGGGUGUGGUGCCCUGACCAGGAAAGGAACCCAGGCCGCAGUGGUGAGAGCGCUGAAUCUUAACUACUAGACCACCUGGGCUGGCUAAUGGUACCUUUACAGUGGAUAAAUCUGGUGGAUACCAUCUUAACCAAAUGGUUAAAAGUAACCAAAAAUUGGACAAUAAUUGGACAUCAUGUGCCCCUUGCUGUAAAGCUUGGAGAAUACCACACCAUCUAUGGAGUAUUCCUGGAAAAAUGUUUAGCCUGAAUCUAAUCAUAAUGACACAGUCAAAUCCAAAUUGAGGGACUGCUCCAAAACAGAGGUUGGAAGAAUUGUUCCUUCACCAUUGGCAGUUUGAGAAGCAUUGCAAUAGAGAACUAUACAAAGGAAAACGUGAAAGCCCCUUCCCACCUGUCUGUAUUCCCCAAUCUCACCGAAACCCUCGCAUCACCUUCCCCAGAGGUAACAGCAUGCCUAUCCUUCCACAUAUCUAUCUAUGUACAAUAUAUAUAUAGUUAAUUUCAUAUAGAAAAGUGAUCACACUAUACAAAUCGUUGAGCUGGAACUUCCUUUUGUUCACUUAAUAAUGUAUCCCAUAGAUCCUUCGAAAUUUAAAAAGCAUUAGCCAAAAUUGUCCCAUUUAUAUACGUGUGAAUUACCUGCAAACUCCUUGAAGGCAGAAUCUGUCUGAUUGAUCAACAUCCCCAAAGCGAGGAAUACUUACGAGCCUGGUACUUUCUUGUCAAUAAACAAAUAAGAGUUUAAAAAUAAAUGAAUGAAUGAAUGAAUACAAACUGUUCACAGUUGGCACACCAAAAGUCCCUGGUGGCCAACAUCAGGUAGACAAUGUGCAUUUCCAAGGAUUGGAACAUGAAUUCCUGUAUAACCAUCUCACUCGACAACAACGUAUUGCGGUGUUGUUAAUAUCAUCAUUUUAUUGGUGAAAAAACUGAACUUAAAUAAUUGCCUAAAGAAUUUAAGCAAAUUAAGUAGUUUGCCUAAAGUUGCAAACUGUUAAGUGAUAGGAUUUCUUUUCCUCCAGCAAGUUAACUCCAGAGCCUCCAGCACGCUCCACCACUGGUUCUGCUUUCUCCAUACCGAGAUUUGGAAAAGAGAGCAAGUCAUCUAUGCUUUCAAGCCUCGCUGCCUAGCAGUUGCAGCAUCACCUGGGAGUCUGUAUGGAAAUGAGGACUCGGGCUCCACCCAGACAUACUGAAUCAGAAUUAAGUUUAACAAAACCCUCACGUGAUUUCUAUGUAUCCUAAAGUUUGAGAAGCAUUUCUUAAAGAAUAUCAGGAAAUGGUAAAUCUCAUUGCAUUAGUUUUCUGUAACUACUACAAAAAAUUACAACAAACUUACUGGCUUACGGCAACACAAAUUUAUUCUCUUACAAGUGCUGUAGGUCAGAAGUCCUAAAUCUGUUUCACUGGGCCAAAAUCUAGGUGUUGGCAGGCCAACACUCCCUCCAUCUGUUUGGAGGGCACACCAAAAACCCGUCUCCUUACUCUUGAAUAUGAGAGUCAUAAAAAAUUUUUUUAACCCUUGUCCUUAAUACAACCUUGUGGAGCAGAGCCACUAGACCCAUUGCUUUCCAUCCUCCGAAUCAGUCAUAGAUUUUUUAAAAAAGAAAUUAAAAUUAAAAAUAGCAUCACAGUUUGAUGAAUUAAUGCUAAGCAAACAAAACGUUGGUCAACCCCCUCGACCACCUUUGUUGAAGCUGAAGCGGGGAACAGUGAAAAGUCAUAUCUAUUGGAUAUCGUUUGAGGUACAGCCAGAAGAGAGUGAAAAAUGGGCACAAAGAUGUGGAAUAGUCUGGGUGGUUCUGCUCUUCUGGAAAUGACUGCCAGACACAGCAGGUGGGGCGCAGGAAGGUCCACUGGGAAGAUAUCAGGAGUAGAGCACAUGACCCCUCCAUGUCCCAGAAUUUCUCCCUUCUAUGCUUGUGAACUUUUUUCGGUUAAUCAUGGACCUAGAGGGUAAAAAUAUAAAACAUAUCAAGACAUCACCAAGUCAGCUUAUUGGAGAGGCGUGGUGGAAGACCCUCAAAAGAAGAGAAAAACUUCCAUUAAGAAAUAGUCUUGGGGAGCCAGCCUGGUGGUGCAGCAGGUAAGUUCACUCAAUCUGCUUUGGCGGCCUGGGGCUCAACGGUUUGGAUCCUGGGUGUGGACGUGGCACCGCAUGGCAAGCCAUGCUGUGGUAGGCACCCCACAUAUAAAGUAGAGGAAGAUGGGCACGGAUGUUAGCUCAGGACCAGUCUUCCUCAGCAAAAAGAGGAUUGGCAGCAGAUGUUAGCAGAUGUCAGGGCUAAUCUUCCUCAAAAAAAAAAAAAAAGAAAUAGUCUUAAAAACAAGUUAGAUCAUAUUACUCUCAAGUCAUUACAAACAUAGGUGUUGAUUUCAUGGAAGCUCAAUGUUUCAGUGAAGCAAUUAUCAACUAGUUUCUUUUUAAAUAAUUGAAGACUCACAAGAAGUUGUAAAAACAGCAGAGUUCUUGUGUACCAUUCACCCAGCUUUGGGCAAUGAUACUUGCACAACCAUAGCACAUCAUCAACUAGUUUUUAAAGACUUCAAAGUUUGUUACAGUAUUUCAAAUCCUUCCCGACUACUGGGGAGGGUAGUUUCUGGGGAAGCAGCCUAGUCAGGAAGGUGAAGGAGGUGACACGCAGACGUUAAGUGCUUGGGCCAGCACCACAACUACACUCUCCCGGAGGAACGUUUCUCAACCUGGCUGAACAUGCGAAUCACUGGAGGAUGGGCAGAAUCCCCCCUGGCUGGGCACACCGCAAGUCAGCUACAUCAACCUCUGCGGGGAGGGCUCAGGCGUCCGUAUCUUUCAAAAGCUCCUCAGAAGCCCCGCCAACGUGCAGCCAGGGCUCAGAACUACUGAGCAAAGGCUUUACUAAGGUUGACUGGAUACUUUUUUUUUAAAUGAGGUUUUCAAGUAUGUUUUACUUUGACAUCAUUGAGAAAUACUGAAAUGUACUCAAAGUCCCUUUGCUCUAUAGCACUUAUCAUAACUAAACAAAUUAAGGCUUAAGACCGAGCUAUGUUACCAGAAAGACACGGGGCUUCUCAUCCCUGGGCAAAAGUCUGAGAAGUUCAAGCGUGGGAUAAACGGAUGGCUGGAGUUAACCGAGAUCUACUCCUUUUCCUCCAACUCUAGACUCCCGCAGUUUGGAUCAGUAUCAUUGUUUCUACUCCAAAUUUGAGGAAAUUUUUGUGAACUGCUAGCUAACAUCUCAGAGAAAAUAUAAAUGAAUGGGUUUCUCCUGUCCCGCCCGCUGGCAGAAACCACGUGACACGCAGACUCUGC
ensembl:lncRNA